rnacentral:rRNA from 1 species
GACGUAGGGCGCGAGCGUUGUCCGGAUUUAUUGGGCGUAAAGAGCUCGUAGGCGGCUUGUCGCGUCGAAUGUGAAAACUCGGGGCUCAACUCCGAGCUUGCAUUCGAUACGGGCAGGCUAGAGUUCGGUAGGGGAGACUGGAAUUCCUGGUGUAGCGGUGAAAUGCGCAGAUAUCAGGAGGAACACCGGUGGCGAAGGCGGGUCUCUGGGCCGAUACUGACGCUGAGGAGCGAAAGCGUGGGGAGCAAACGGG